UACGGAGGGCGCAAGCGUUGUUCGGAAUCACUGGGCGUAAAGCGCGUGUAGGCGGCUUGGCAAGUCGGAUGUGCAAUCCCGAAGCUCAACCUCGGAACUGCACUCGAAACUGCCUGGCUCGAGUCCCGGAGAGGGUGGCGGAAUUCCCGGUGUAGGGGUGAAAUCCGUAGAUAUCGGCAGGAACACCAGUGGCGAAGGCGGCCGCCUGGACGGUGACUGACGCUGAGACGCGAAAGCGUGGGGAGCAAACAGG
rnacentral:rRNA from 1 species